GUCCACGCCCUAAACGAUGUCAACUGGUUGUUGGACGGCUUGCUGUUCAGUAACGAAGCUAACGCGUGAAGUUGACCGCCUGGGGAGUACGCCGCAAGGUUGAACUCAAGGAAUUGACGGGGACCCGGCACAAGCGGUGGAUGAUGUGGUUUAAAUUCGAUGCAACGCGAAAACCUUAACCUACACUUGACAUGUCAAGAAUCUUGCAGAGAUGUGAGAGUGCUCGAAAGAGAACUUGAACACAGGUGCUGCAUGGCCGUCGU
rnacentral:rRNA from 1 species